CCUACGGGAGGCAGCAGUGGGGAAUAUUGGGCAAUGGGGGAAACCCUGACCCAGCAACGCCGCGUGAAGGAAGAAGGCCUUCGGGUUGUAAACUUCUUUUACCAGGGACGAAGGACGUGACGGUACCUGGAGAAAAAGCAACGGCUAACUACGUGCCAGCAGCCGCGGUAAUACGUAGGUUGCAAGCGUUGUCCGGAUUUACUGGGUGUAAAGGGCGUGUAGGCGGAGAUGCAAGUUGGGAGUGAAAUCCAUGGGCUCAACCCAUGAACUGCUCUCAAAACUGUAUCCCUUGAGUAUCGGAGAGGCAAGCGGAAUUCCUAGUGUAGCGGUGAAAUGCGUAGAUAUUAGGAGGAACACCAGUGGCGAAGGCGGCUUGCUGGACGACAACUGACGCUGAGGCGCGAAAGCGUGGGGAGCAAACAGG
rnacentral:rRNA from 1 species